CGAGAUGUGGCGUAACGGAAGCGCACCGGAUUUGGGAUCCGGAGGGUGGGGGUUCGAUUCCCUCCGUCUCGACGA
rnacentral:tRNA from 1 species